rnacentral:lncRNA from 1 species
UAUUAAACUAGACAUUGUGAAGGCUUUUGACAAAGUAGAAUGGUAAUUUAUUGAUAUAGUCAUGCAGAAAAUAGGUUUCUUUGAAAAAUGGUGAGGAUGGAUUCAGAAAUGCAUAACAUCGGUCACAUUUUUGUUUUACUAAGAGUAUCUCCAAAAGAAACUUCAUUUUUAAGUUGGUAAAACUUCAAAUUCGAAGUUUGAGGGUGCUCUCUAAAAGAGCAACUUCGAACUUAGAUUUAAAUUUUUUACAGUUUAGACUAUAAUCCUUCU